rnacentral:lncRNA from 1 species
CCGGCUGCCGUAUAAAUUGCAGCACCAACAUGACUCUUUGGCACACCUUGACACGCAUGUAAGCCAGCUUCACGACCAACAAGUGCUUGCAAGGACUCAACAACAUUCACCGCCCACUGCCCCCCGCCGCCAGUCGUACUACUUGCUUUGGUGCACCUAUCCCGCACGCCAUGCACGCCAUGCUACUGCCCAACAGACCAAGGGCAUCCUGCAAUGUAAUUUACUGUCCAAGCACUAUCCCUCUACUUCCCCUACUUCUUGGCGUUCUCCAGCUGCUUCUCUGUGCAGCCAAAGCUAGCCGGUGUCUUGCCCUCCCAGCUUGUGUAGACGCCCGACAGCGGCCAGUUCACCUGCGGUGUUUAUAGAAUGUAAUAAAUAGUGUGCAUGAUGGGGUACGUUUCAUGCUCAGGCAGUAGGCGCCUCUCCAGCUGGGCGGGCCUGGGCGGCAGCUGGGCGGCCCUGGGCGGCAGCUGGGUGGGCCUGGGCGGCGGCUGGGCGGCAGCUGGGCGGGCCUGGGUGGCAUCUGGGUGGGGGCUGAGCGCGCCUGGGCAGAGCCUGGACAAGGGCUGGGCAGGAGCCACAUAACAAUGGGUUACCAGCAGGAAGUUACCAUUUUAUCAAAGUUCACCGAGGUUUUACCAAUCAGCCAACCCAUACCAAUCCUGACCAAUGCUAACCGACGCUGACCAUCGGUUUAUCAGGGUGACCGCCCGGUAACCGCCCCCAUACCGAUCGGUUUAAUAGGGGCUGGAACGGUAGGGACACGCUUCACCAAACCGGGAGCCCUCCGCCCAAGGGCAUGUCAAUGCCUGCCGCAGUUCGUGCAGGCCGUCAUGUGCUGCAACCAGCUGGCCCACACACGCCAGUCCCGGCAGAGCAAACAAAUCCGCGAAAGCCACUUCCCACGUGCGGUUGUCCUCACGCAGCGCCGGGUUAGCCCACAACGGCACAUGACUCACCCACGCGCCCGGCUCGGGCGGCGCCACAAGAGUCACCGCGGGCAAUUUAGUCAUGGCUUUCAGCAGGCGCACAAACGGCUUGCCCGCUGGGGUGAGCGGCUUAUUUAGCACACGGUCCAACAAACACAUGGGCAUUGCCGCCGGGUGCACCUGGCGCAGCCACGACCCGGGUCCACGGGGGCACGUACGGCAGCAGACCACACACACCCAACACACACUGUACCGUGAGGCCGGCUUGCCGCGCUUUCACAUGCGGCACCAGCGGUAACAGGCCCGUCACCCCCACCGCCGGAGGCAGUUGCAUAAGUUCAAUGGAGAGGCCAGGCGGGCGUGCCUGGGGGUUGGCAUCAAACUGGGCCGCCGACAGCCGGAUAAGAUGCAUGUGCCUGCCGCUCAGAUGGCUGGGGCCACACAAGCAGGCCAUAUGCCCGGAAACACACUUCCCCACAGCACACGCACACAGGACACACCCCCCUGGGCUGCCCGCUUGGAGACACGCACAGCUGGGCGUCACACACGUGUUCGCUCAAGCGUGCACACACACACACACACACACACACACACACACACACACACACACAAAUGCACAAGCUCAUGCUCACGCACGCACAUACACGCACGUCAAUACACACACACCUCGUGUACACACAAGCACACGCAUGCACAAGCCCACACAUGCACACACACACACACACACACACACACACACGUCUGAGGUUGUUACACCGGUAGUAAUUCCGCAAGGAUUACUGGCGCGGUGAAGGGUCGGAGUGCGUUGCCCUGUGGACUCCAGAGCUGUUUGCGCUCUGCCGGGGAAACGCCAGGUCACGGCAGCCCUCGAUUGAGAGCCCUGUCGUUGGUUAUACCAGAUACACGAUUCACGUGAUCUGGCAGAAUAACCGUGGAAACCGUAGUCACACACACACACACACACACACACACACACACACACACACACACACACACACACACACACACACACACACACACACACACACACACACACACACACACACACACACACACACACACACACACACACACACACUACACACACACACACACACACACAAGCCCACACAUACACACACACACACACACACACACAUGCUGCUGAUGGCCUUGUUGCUUGUCGCCCCUGACUCCCAACUCCCAGCGUCGCCCCUGACACCCAACUCAGCCCCCGACUCGGACGACCGCGUGUGCAAGGACACGCCUGGGAGUGGAAUGCGUCUUUGAUGUCUACUAUCAAUAGCUACUCGGCAGUGCGUGAGGUGUGUGCAUCAGGGGAUAAAGAAUUCGAGGUGUACGCGACGAACGGAAAACCCACUGGAACCGGUGGUUUUUUUUCGUUUCGCACACAAGCCGUAUUUCUCAAUUCUUAUUGUCCGUACCACUUUAUAGAGCCAAACUCUAUUCGUUUGUCAUCAACAAUGCAUCCAACGCCGUUCCAGAAGGGCCUGCCGCUGCCGCUGCCGCCCCUCCUGCACCUGUGGUCGUUCAUGUUCACUACGUUGCCGUUGCUAUCGGCAAACUCAAUGGAGCCACCGCCAGACGCGUGGAAGCUGUCUCUGCCGGCAUAGUAGUAGUAGAUAGGACUUGGAUAUGGCUCUGCCCUGUGCAAGGAUCUUGUUGAUUUGGUAAUAACACACAACUAAUUAAUACAGUACAUAAACUGAGCAUGCUGGUGCUGUUGGACCGGCUUUUCACUGGUGUGCAUGGUGUCCGGUAAGAUUUGGCAAAUCGCGGCCUGCAAAUGUCCGGUAAGGGGCGCCGGGGACUAUUGUCCGGUAGAUUUCAGGCAUUGUCCGGUAGGGUACGGCACUUGUCCGGUAAGUCUGGUGACUUGUCCGGUAGGUUUUGGAUUGUCCGGUAACUUUGUUUUCCCAGAGUGGCGGUCACCCUGAUAAACCGAUGGUCAGCGUCGGUCAGCAUCGGUUACGAUUGGUAGGGGUUGGCCGCACGGUAAAACAUCGGUUAACAUUGGUAAAAUGGUCACUUCCCGGUAACCCAUUGGUAUUUGGCUCCUCCCCAGCCCUUGUCCAGGCCCUUGUCCAGGCUCUGCCCAGGCUCGCUCAGCCCCCACCCAGAUGCCACCCAGGCCUGCCCAGCUGCCACCCAGGGCCGCCCAGCUGCCGCCCAGGCCCGCCCAGCUGCCACCCAGGCCCGCCCAGCUGCCACCCAGGCCCACCCAGCCUGGCCAGGGCCUGCCCCCAGCGUACACGCAUGCAGCUCUGGCCGCGGCCGUGCCUUUGGCCAUGGCUGGGGGUGUUAGGCUAGCAGACCACGUUGCGAACAUAGGGGCGAGAAGUCUGGGGCGAGGCCUGUGGGAUCCUUGGGGCGGCCUCGCACCUGCCGCGCCCCUGAACCCCCCAGUAACCCUCAGGCAGUCGCUGACGGCCGAGCUGAGACCGCUGCGCUUCCUGAGCUGUAAACUUACUUUAGUAAUGUAGUUGCAUGUAGUGUAUGCUUCCUGAGCAUAGGAAUGCAGCUGAGCAGCUGGCUGUGUCGACCGAGGCAGCAAUGAACCCCCCCGGUCACUGCUGUCACUGGCGCAUGGCUUUAGCGGUUGAUAUCAAUAGUCUGUUAUGCACUCAGAGUACUUGUCGCAGAAGUUCGGGCUUUUCGGGUGUCUUAGGGAAAGUGGUCGCGCGUCCCCCGGCCGGGGGACGCAAACCCAUGUUUGUCAACUCGUCGAGUUGUGUAUUUGAACUUGGCCACAAAGUGCAUAUUGACUAAUGCCUAUAAAAAUCAAUCAACCCCAACACCCAAAGCCGUCCAGGAGUGCAGAGUACUUUACAUCACCGGGUUGAGGCCGUUGUCUCCAUCUUACAUCCUUCCUAGUACACUAAGUUAGAAGCUGAUAUCUUUCCCAGUACAAAACACAACGUUGCCCGGGGCCCUGGCUUGGUGGUGCAUGCAAUGUCAGUAAGCGAGUGGCCGCAUAUGGGGGAUCUGUGCAUGUUGACCAUUCUGUAAAAAAAAAC